rnacentral:tRNA from 1 species
ACCGCGAUAGCUCAGUUGGCAGUUUCCACCCGGUAAGAGGAGUGUCGCCGGUUCGAUCCCUGUUCACGGAG